rnacentral:rRNA from 1 species
CACGUAGGGCGCAAGCGUUGUCCGGAAUUAUUGGGCGUAAAGAGCUCGUAGGCGGUCUGUUGCGUCCGCUGUGAAAACUCGGGGCUUAACCCCGAGCCUGCAGUGGAUACGGGCAGACUAGAGUGUGGUAGGGGAGACUGGAAUUCCUGGUGUAGCGGUGAAAUGCGCAGAUAUCAGGAGGAACACCGGUGGCGAAGGCGGAUCUCUGGGCCGUAACUGACGCUGAGGAGCGAAAGCAUGGGUAGCGAACAGG